GCCUUCUCCUGUCUGCCACCACGUGAGAUGUGCCUUUCACCUUCCACUAUGAUUGUGAGGCCUCACCAGCCAUGUGGAACUAGUUCAAGAUUUCAACAUUUUAAGAUAAUCUGAAAAAAAUUGGAAUGUGCCCCCAGCUGCGCUACUGGUGACUUCUUCAACAGUUGAGAAACUGAACUAUGUGUUCAUGAAAAUACUCCAUCAUUAAAGUUUAUGCUUUAGCAAUACUCUCUCAACACUGUUUAUCAAAGGAACCAAUAUGGAAGGAAAAACAUUGCUUUGAAGGGAAGAUGGAUGGAUCCCCUAGUAAACUACAGCUUGAGGUGCAAUUUCCUAAAGUUCAAAUGCCUGAAAAAGGAAACGAAAGAAAGAAACUCAACUCUUGAGACAGCUUCAAUGCUAGCUUUGAUCUCAAUUAUAGAGUUAUUUAUGAAAAGUGCAUUUUUACAACUAAAAAUAAAUUAGGAUCAAAAGCUUCUAGAGGCUAUACUAUGGAGUGCUUAAUAAAAAGUUGAGUAAAGAGUAAUG
rnacentral:lncRNA from 10 species